CAGGGAUAUUCAAGUGAAAAAGUCCUGAAGAAAGGAAAUGAAGUGGAGGGGGCUGUGCUGCUGUUUGUGCCCUCAAGAACCCAUGUGUGAAAAAUACAGCGUAUGUCAUGUUGAAUUGAGAUGGCAAUGGUAAACCCCUCCUGUAGUCUACCAAAGGCAACCACAGGGCUCUGUGGUCGCCAGGAGUCAACACCAACUCGAUGCUCUUUCCAGUGCUGCCAGAAAGAGUCUAGGGAAAUGGAAGUCACAUUUGUUGCCAGUAUGCCAGCUAUAAAGAAAAUGCUUACACCAUUCUGAUGAAAAAUACAGCAUCACUAUAGGUUCACCCAGCCUUCAGACUCUUGACUCCACCCAUGGAGGGCUGCCAUUGGAUCCACGACAGGCAAGAAGAGUAUAAGAAAUUUCAUGUCAGGCGUACUUGCUUCCUCAGUAUCAAGGUUCCCUGAUCUGACAUGCAUUGCCUGCUUCAGCACCUGACAUCUGUUGCAAUUCCUGACCUGUUCCUGAUUUCCAACUCCUGGUGACUAUUCGGCUGCAACCUUUGGCGUGUUCCUGACUCCUGGCUUUCAUCUGACUCUCCUGGUCUCCAACUGCCUGUCUGGCUUCCUCCCCGUGAGCUCCUGCUUUUCCCAGUCCUUGCUUUGGACUUGUGCCCCCUAGAGACUGCUGCUCAUGGCUCAGCUACCUGACACUAGGUGUAACCACCCUAUGUCUUCAGUGUAACCACCCUAUGUCUUCAGUGUAACCACCCUAUGUGGCUUCCAAAUACGAUUUGUGUAGGAGAAAGGGAAAAUCCUGACCUGUUUCGGCAUAACAGGAUUAUGGACUGGGAUGAUAAAAUGCUUUGCAAUCUCAUCUUUGGUUUGGGACAAUACGAGCACAAAACAAGGUAGUUAGCUUCAAGCAUUUUCUAAUAUUCUGUCCAUGUGUAGAAACCAACAGUUCACUAAAGCACAGCAUGCAUAAGAAAUCCAUUGCAGCAUUUCACCAAAACAUUGCAUUCCACAAUACAGGUUUAACAUUAGUCCAGUAAGUGGCCAGGUGGUGCAUAUAAUGCCUCUCUUGCUAUAGCUGCACUAGGUAACAACUUAUGUGUGAGCCCAUUUCAAUGCAUUUGUUUUGGCAUUUCAAAGCCCUAAACUAAGUGGGUCUACAUUACUUUAAGGAGUACUUUACUCCAUAUGAGACUGUGAAAGUUUUAUUAUUAGCUACAAGGCCCUGUUCUCUGACCCACCAUUAACAGAAAUCAAAAUGGCCUUUUCAGUGGCAGCAGCUCUGCUGCAACAUUCCUUUGCAAGGAUAUCCCUUCCAAGGGAUAUUCAGCAAGCUCCCUCUUACUGUCUUGAUACAAACUUUUUAAAAGUGGGCUAUACAAUCUAAUUAAACUGCCAGUUUUGUAGGCAAACACUGCAUAUAGUAUACUUCUGCAAACAAAUCAUCAUUACUUAAUGUUUGGCAAUACCUAUCUGCUUCCCACUUUCAUUAUCUGGAAAUAUUUUACACCCAGGAAGAAACCUUAAGAAUAUUGCACUUAUCAGCUCAAAAAGCAAACAAGGAGGUAACUCAGUGUUACUUUUCAAUAAGGCAGAAAUAUCCACUGAAACAGGCAACUUGUUCUAGAACAUAUAACCAUGCACGGCUAUUAUUUUAAGUCAGGCACCAAACAAUUUAUCCACUGAUCAUGCAUUAUAUUGCAAGGGCAGGAAGCUCUCUUGGUAUUCCUAAAUGAGAACAUAUUGGUCAGUAUCAAGUCAAACUGAUGGGCUCAAUUUCACAAGCAUUUUCACAGUUUUUAACACAUGGCAGACAUUUCAAGUGUUAGCAGGGAAUUUCUUGUUUUUUAAAAGCAAUCCAAGUGUUUGCAAGGGUAGGCAAUGUGCAGAUCUCUAGAUGUUGCUGAACGACAACCACCGUCACCCCCAGCCACAAUUUAUUGCAGCUGGGGAUGAUGGAAGUUGUAGCUCAGCAACAACUGGAGAACCACAUGUUGGUUCUAACCCUGGUUUAGAGGCAUAACAGGACUGCAAAAAGAACCCAGUGAAGGCAAGGCAGCUUUGUUUGCCUAGAGGCCACCAUACAGCUGUGCCAGUCUGAUGCUAUGCUCACUACAUGAUUAUUGCAUGUUUGGACUCACAUCAUGACAAACCUUUCAAAUUAAAAAAGAAUAAGAGCAGCAGUCAGUAAGAGACUGGGGGAUUAUGGCUGUUAACAAAUGUAAGUGGCAGAUAGCUUUUUUUUUUUUUAAGGAAUCAUGCAAAAAAACCCACCAAAAAAACCCCUUGACACUGGGAAAUAAAUAUAAUGAAGAUUCAGUACUCGUCUCAAUGCACAAUGCCUUUAGUUACAACUGCAAAAUUUCAAGAGAAAAACUCCCGUCAUCUGCUUUGUUUUACCUAUUUGCCUCAAAACAGCUGCCUUUUAUGUAUGUACACCUUAAAAAUAAAAAAGACCGUUCUUGCUCAAGCCAUGCAUUAACACAA